rnacentral:rRNA from 1 species
AGCGAACGCUGGCGGCAGGCCUAACACAUGCAAGUCGAACGAACCUUCCGGGGUUUGUGGCGGAUGGGUGUGUAACCCGUGGGAACGUGCCCUCAGGUUUGGAAUACCUCUGGGACACUUGUGCUAACACCGAACGUGCCCUUAGGGGGAAAGAUUUAUCGCAUUUCGAGGGGCCCGCGUCGGAUUAGCUAGUUGGUUGAGGUAAUGGUUCACCAAGGCGACGUUCAGUAGUUGGUCAGAGAGAAUGUUCAGACACAUUUGGACUGUGACGCGGCCCAAACUCCUACGGAAGGCAGCAGUGGGUAAUCUAGCGCAAUGGGCGAAAGCCUGACGGAGCCAUGCCGCGUAAAUGAUGAAGGUCUUAAGAUAGUAAAAUGCUUUCACCGGGGACGAUAAUGACGGUACCCAGUGAAAAAGCCCCGGCUAACUUCGUG